rnacentral:rRNA from 1 species
GAGCUUGCUCCUUGAUUUAGCGGCGGACGGGUGAGUAAUGCCUAGGAAUCUGCCUGGUAGUGGGGGAUAACGUUCCGAAAGGAACGCUAAUACCGCAUACGUCCUACGGGAGAAAGCAGGGGACCUUCGGGCCUUGCGCUAUCAGAUGAGCCUAGGUCGGAUUAGCUAGUUGGUGAGGUAAUGGCUCACCAAGGCGACGAUCCGUAACUGGUCUGAGAGGAUGAUCAGUCACACUGGAACUGAGACACGGUCCAGACUCCUACGGGAGGCAGCAGUGGGGAAUAUUGGACAAUGGGCGAAAGCCUGAUCCAGCCAUGCCGCGUGUGUGAAGAAGGUCUUCGGAUUGUAAAGCACUUUAAGUUGGGAGGAAGGGCAUUAACCUAAUACGUUAGUGUUUUGACGUUACCGACAGAAUAAGCACCGGCUAACUUCGUGCCAGCAGCCGCGGUAAUACGAAGGGUGCAAGCGUUAAUCGGAAUUACUGGGCGUAAAGCGCGCGUAGGUGGUUCGUUAAGUUGGAUGUGAAAGCCCCGGGCUCAACCUGGGAACUGCAUCCAAAACUGGCGAGCUAGAGUACGGUAGAGGGUGGUGGAAUUUCCUGUGUAGCGGUGAAAUGCGUAGAUAUAGGAAGGAACACCAGUGGCGAAAGCGACCACCUGGACUGAUACUGACACUGAGGUGCGAAAGCGUGGGGAGCAAACAGGAUUAGAUACCCUG